rnacentral:rRNA from 1 species
AUUGAACGCUGGCGGCAUGCCUUACACAUGCAAGUCGAACGGUAACGGGCCUUCGGGUGCCGACGAGUGGCGGACGGGUGAGUAAUGUAUCGGAACGUACCUUUCAGUGGGGGAUAACGUAGCGAAAGUUACGCUAAUACCGCAUAUUCUGUGAGCAGGAAUGCAGGGGAUCGCAAGACCUUGCGCUGAUUGAGCGGCCGAUAUCAGAUUAGCUAGUUGGUGAGGUAAAGGCUCACCAAGGCGACGAUCUGUAGCGGGUCUGAGAGGAUGAUCCGCCACACUGGAACUGAGACGCGGUCCAGACUCCUACGGGAGGCAGCAGUGGGGAAUUUUGGACAAUGGGGGCAACCCUGAUCCAGCCAUGCCGCGUGAGUGAAGAAGGCCUUCGGGUUGUAAAGCUCUUUCGGCCGGGAAGAAAUCGUAUCAGCUAAUACCUGGUGCGGAUGACGGUACCGGCAUAAGAAGCACCGGCUAACUACGUGCCAGCCGCCGCAGUAAGAC